rnacentral:rRNA from 1 species
GUCUACGGCCAUGCCAUCCUGAACAAGCCCAAUCCCGUCUGAUCUCGGACGCUAAGCAGGGUCAGGCCUGGUUAGUACUUGGAUGGGAGACCACCUAGGAAGACCAGGUCAGUUUAUC